rnacentral:piRNA from 1 species
UAACAGUUGUUGUGGAAUUGU